rnacentral:rRNA from 1 species
UACAGAGGUCCCAAGCGUUGUUCGGAUUCACUGGGCGUAAAGGGUGCGUAGGCGGUCGGGUAAGUCUGAUGUGAAAUCUCACAGCUUAACUGUGAAACUGCAUUGGAUACUAUCCGGCUAGAGGAAUGGAGGGGAGACUGGAAUACUUGGUGUAGCAGUGAAAUGCGUAGAUAUCAAGUGGAACACCAGUGGCGAAGGCGAGUCUCUGGACAUUUCCUGACGCUGAGGAGCGAAAGCAUGGGGAGCGAACAGG